rnacentral:rRNA from 1 species
UACGUAGGGGGCUAGCGUUGUCCGGAUUUAUUGGGCGUAAAGGGCGAGUAGGUGGCCAUCUAAGUCAGACGUGAAAUCCCUCGGCUUAACCGGGGAACUGCGUCUGAUACUGGAUGGCUAGAGUUUGGGAGAGGGAUGCGGAAUUCCAGGUGUAGCGGUGAAAUGCGUAGAUAUCUGGAGGAACACCGGUGGCGAAGGCGGCGACCUGGGCCAAUACUGACGCUGAGGUGCGAAAGCGUGGGGAGCAAACAGG